rnacentral:tRNA from 1 species
GCCCCCAUCGUCUAGCGGCCUAGGACAUUGGCCUUUCACGUCAAAGACACGAGUUCAAAUCUCGUUGGGGGCGCCA